rnacentral:lncRNA from 1 species
UAUUCCUACCUCUGUUCCUUCUAUUCUGACUACAGGUCCUUCAAUUUUCCCUGCUGGCCAUUGUUUGAGCUGCUUUUCCCUGCCCUGACUACACACUUCAUUAGCUCCUGCUAUCUGUGGCAAAGCUUAACCUCCUGGCUUCUCUCCUGCUUUCAGCCUCUCUCAUCCUCUUGUUGUUUCUGUGUCUGUUCCAGUUUUCUCUUAGCUGUCUCAUAUCUUUGUCUUUAUUGUUCUACACUCUACACCAUCUGUUGUGCUGCUGCCUGCAUGACUCAUCCUGAAAACAAUAAAAAUCCUACUGCAUUCCCAACCAUUACACCAGGGAGCCAAGGAAGGCAUGCCAAAAUCUACAUCAACAGCAGUCAAGCCAGGGUCCUCAUGGAAUUCAGCUCCAGUCCCCUGUUAGGCUGUCUGUUCCCCACUGGAUGGCAGUCCCUGCAAUGUUAUUCACUCUGGGAAGGAAAGUCCAGCUUUGAAGCAGCAAGCUGAAAUCUCAGACUGCUCUGUAGAUGAAUAUGUACGUGAAAUGCCACAGCUAUGGAACCUCAUUGCUCCACAUUUUGCUUGGAUACAUUGUCCUCUAGGGGCACAUGGAAAAAAUUCUUGGUGGGAAUUACUUCUGGGUGGACUGUGGGUAUCUACGUCUGUGACAGCUGGAUCUUUUGCAGCCUGUGAACACAGACUUCUUUUAAAGCCAAACAGUCUGAGAAAUGUAAUUGAA